CAAAGGGAUAUAAACUACCACCUGAACAUUUAAGUUAAUGCUUACCUAAGCUGUGCCCUUUCUCUAACAGACACCAUGAGCCCAGAGAGUACUACCAUCACCCCUGCUGUCCGCUCGCUACUACAACUCCCACCAGUCCACCAAUGCCUGCUGUCCUGUUUGCUAGCUAUUACAACUCUCACCAGUACACCACUACCUGCUGUCCACUGGCUACUACAACUGCCAGCAGUCCACCACUGCCUGCUAUUCACUGGCUACUAAAACUCUCACCAGUCCAGCACUGUCUGCUCUCCUGUCCACUGGUUACUACACCGACCAGUCCACCACUGCCUGCUGUCCUAACCACUGGUUACUACAACUUCCACCUGUCCGCCACUGCCUGCUGUGUAUUGGAUAUUACUUGUGGUCAGGGCUAAUGUGUAACAUGAAUAUGGAAACAGACUUACCUGAGUUCAGAACUGUCGUCCAUUGUGGUAACCUGUAAUAGCUCCAUGCCUCCAAGGGAUUGUCGGAUAAUCCAGGUCUGGUUGCUGUUCUGUGUAUAUUUAUAUCGGUUCUUUGCAUUGCUCUUGUGGUUACUGCUGUGAGAUUCUGCCAGAAGCCAAAUCCAGAAUUUGAGAAGCUGGAUGAAGUCCCAAUGAAUGGAAUAAAUGAAGAGGCUCCAUUUGCCCGAUAUCCUCCAAAAUAAUACAACAAAAAGGAUAUUAUUAUAACUACUUAAUGUUUAUGCCACAUUGUUUCUGUAGAAUACAGCUAUGUUUUUUUAAAUACAUUUUUGAUUUUGACUA